rnacentral:rRNA from 1 species
UACGUAGGGGGCUAGCGUUAUCCGGAAUUACUGGGCGUAAGGGGUGCGUAGGUGGUUUCUUAAGUCAGAGGUGAAAGGCUACGGCUCAACCGUAGUAAGCCUUUGAAACUGGGGAACUUGAGUGCAGGAGAGGAGAGUGGAAUUCCUAGUGUAGCGGUGAAAUGCGUAGAUAUUAGGAGGAACACCAGUUGCGAAGGCGGCUCUCUGGACUGUAACUGACACUGAGGCACGAAAGCGUGGGGAGCAAACAGG